UACGGGGGGUGCGAGCGUUGUCCGGAAUCACUGGGCGUAAAGGGCGCGUAGGUGGUUUGAUAAGGGUGUGGUGAAAGCCCGGGGCUCAACCCCGGGUCUGCCGUGCCGACUGUCAAACUCGAGGGCUGUAGAGGCAGACGGAAUUCCGGGUGUAGCGGUGGAGUGCGUAGAGAUCCGGAGGAAGACCGGUGGCGAAGGCGGUCUGCUGGGCAGUUUCUGACACUGAUGCGCGACAGCGUGGGGAGCAAACAGG
rnacentral:rRNA from 1 species